UCAAAUCUUGAGGAAUGAAGAAGAACAGUGUUCUGAUUGAGCUUCAGAGAUGCAAUAAAGAAGAAAAAAAUACAAGUACACUAUUCUUCAAGUAAAGGAAUAGUAUUUUGAUAGAGCUUCAGAGAUGCAAUAGAGAGAAAAUCGAGUACAUUGUUCUUCAAGCAGAUGAUAAUAUGUAGUAGAGAAAAAUAUUAAGUAGAUAACAUGGGCUCUGAUACUAUGUAAACUAUAAAGAAAAAUUGAGAGGAAAGAAAGUGUCAUUUUGUAUUCUUGUACUGAUGAUAUAUACACACACACACACACACACACAUAGAUAGAU
rnacentral:lncRNA from 1 species